rnacentral:lncRNA from 1 species
CCUUUCACGCACAAAUGCAUUUCAGAGUUGCGUCUGGACCCUUUUUCCGCGUAGGAACUAAAGUAGGAUGGGACGGUCAUCCCCUUUAUGUCCUGUGAGGCUAAAAAGGUAUUUUAAAGCUUUUCAACUUAACGAGGGAGUAGGGAACACAUAUAUGUUUAAAGGUUUUUUUUUAAAUAAAAAUUUCCAACACUCCCACCAUCAAACUUAUUAAUCAGGUAAACUCAGAAAUCUGAAAAUAUUAAGGAUGCGUUUCGUUACACU